AACGCGAAGAACCUUACCUAGGCUUGACAUAUACAGGACGACGGCAGAGAUGUCGUUUCCCUUGUGGCUUGUAUACAGGUGGUGCAUGGUUGUCGUCAGCUCGUGUCGUGAGAUGUUGGGUUAAGUCCCGCAACGAGCGCAACCCCUGUCUCAUGUUGCCAGCACGUUAUGGUGGGGACUCGUGAGAGACUGCCGGGGUCAACUCGGAGGAAGGUGGGGAUGACGUCAAAUCAUCAUGCCCCUUAUGUCUAGGGCUUCACACAUGCUACAAUGGCUAGUACAGAGGGCUGCGAGACCGCGAGGUGGAGCGAAUCCCUUAAAGCUAGUCUCAGUUCGGAUUGGGGUCUGCAACUCGACCCCAUGAAGUCGGAGUCGCUAGUAAUCGCAGAUCAGCAUUGCUGCGGUGAAUACGUUCCCGGGUCUUGUACACACCG
rnacentral:rRNA from 1 species